rnacentral:rRNA from 1 species
AUUGAACGCUGGCGGCAGGCCUAACACAUGCAAGUCGAACGAGUGGCGGACGGGUGAGUAAUGUCUGGGAAACUGCCUGAUGGAGGGGGAUAACUACUGGAAACGGUAGCUAAUACCGCAUACCAUCGGAUGUGCCCAGAUGGGAUUAGCUAGUAGGUGGGGUAAAGGCUCACCUAGGCGACGAUCCCUAGCUGGUCUGAGAGGAUGACCAGCCACCCUGGAACGGAGACACAGUCCAGACUCCUACGAGAGGCAGCAGUGGGGAAUAUUGCACAAGGGGCGAAAGCCUUAUGCAGCCAUGCCGCGUGUAUGAAGAAGGCCUUAGGGUUGUAAAGUACUUUCAGCGGGGAGGCGUUACUCGCAGAAGAAGCACCGGCUAACUCCGUGCGAGCAGCGGCGGUAAUAC